UGGACACCGGACACGUGGCCACACAAUGGGGACACACGACUGACCUCAGUCACUUCGGCAAACUGCCCCUGCUUUCCGGAGACGGCAGGAGCGUUUCGGGAGCUCCAGCUCAAGGGCCCGGGGGCGCCCGCGUUCCUCUCCCCAGCAGAUCCUGAUGUCGAAUGCAGUUUUCAUCUAAGGGAUCAUCUACCUCCAGGAUUCCCUAACAUAGAAGAGGGAUCUGAAGAUCCAGAAACUAAGACCUUUUUGCAUGGGAGGAGAAAGAGGAACCUCUCCACUUCUCUGGAUAAAUGGGACCUUGAACAUCCCUGUCAAGUAAAGCCUGGAGAUUUACACUGUCAGGCCCACUGGGUGUCAUUGGAGCCACAGACAGCUGGAGGGCAGGGCCACUGGCUCUGCUGAAGCCCAUUCCUGGGCUGGCCAUGAAACUUGUCUGUAUUUGAUCUGACUUGUUACUGUUUGUGUGUGUUAAAAAAAUAUAAAAUUGGUUUCUCUAUCACCACCAUUUGCCAGUGAGCAUCACCACCAUUCCUCAAAAAGGACAGAAAAGACUCCCAGAUGCUGGGACAGUGAGACAUGGUGGCACUGACUCUCCAAGGGCUGGAGCAUUAGGGCAGUGUGGUUCUAGGAAGCUGGGGGUCAAGGAUCCUCUUCCACAAACGCUUUCCUGGGUGAGCUCUGUGAACAGGGCCUUCCUCCUUAUUUGAAAAAGGCCAUUAAAAUUCAUCACUUUCUGUUUGACCUCCUCCUGAGCACUCCAGGGACAUCUCUCUGAAACUCACACCUCUUGGAGGUAGGUGCUCUAACCAUGGGCAUGCGGAUGAGGAAACUGAGACAGAGUGUCCCCUAUUAGCUCAAAGUCACAGUUCUUAAGUAACAGAGCCUGGAUACCAAAUCGAGUCCCUCUGCCUUAACCCCCUGUGUAAAGGCUGGAGACCCCUGGGCCUGGGGCAGGAAGUGGCAGCUCUCUUAGGUCUGUGAGCGUGUGUGGGUUGGUGCUGGGGUGAGGGGGGUUGGUGGCUGGGAGCACUCUUUGUGUUUACUUGAGUAGGAGAAAGAGAAAGCCUGGAGAUUUUGCAAAGCCUAUAAGGAAACAGGCUGAUGAUGCAGGAGUAGGGAGGGAUUUUGGCUCUGGACUGGGGAGGGAAGAAUAGGGACAAAUGUUCUGUGGCUUUGGCCGGAAGGAUCGCAGCACCCGCUGUCUUUGCUCCUGGGUGGAGGCCAAAGCGUGGGGCCACUACAAUGCGCGGCUUCACUAGUUGGCGCUUCUAUUUGAGCGCCCAUUGCGUGGCGUGUGUGUGUAUGUGUGUGUGCGCGCGCGCGCACGUACGCGUGUGUAAGGUUGGGAGUAGGCUCUGGCCUUGACAUUCCUGAUAAUGAGGAUCUCUGUGUACCUGUGGAGCCCACACUCUGGAAGGAAACUGAGAACAAGUGCUGGCCAUCGGCAAAUUUCCCCGCUCCCAGACGUUUCUAAAUGAGCUGGUGGGUGCAUGUCUGGUUCAGAAUGGGAAACUGAGGGCCGUAGAGACUGUUUAAGGUCACAACUCGAAACACUUUGUCAAGUGUGGAAGGAUA
ensembl:lncRNA